rnacentral:rRNA from 1 species
AUUGAACGCUGGCGGCAGGCCUAACACAUGCAAGUCGAGCGGAGCGGCCGUCGGGUGUGUAAUGCCUAUGUAUCUGCCUGGUAGUGGGGGUUAACGUCCGCUUACGGGCGCUAAUACCGCAUUCUUUCAGUUUAGCCUAGGUCGGAUUAGCUAGUUGGUGGGGUUAAGGCCUACCAAGGCGACGAUCCGUAACUGGUCUGAGAGGAUGAUCAGUCACACUGGAACUGAGACACGGUCCAGACUCCUACGUGAGGCAGCAGUGGUGAAUAUUGGACAAUGGGCGAAAGCCUGAUCCAGCCAUGCCGCGUGUGUGAAGAAGGUCUUCGGAUUGUAAAGCACUUUAAGUUGGGAGGCGGUACCAAAAGAAUAAGCAACGGCUAACUUCGUGCCAGCAGCCGCGGUAAUUG